UAUUCUGCCCUACAGGGAAGGAUGAGAAGCUUCGAUUAAGGUUCGACUCGAGCGAAGCGAGAGAACGUUGCCGCAGGCAACGGCCCGAAGGGCGAGGCGCUUUAGCGCCGAGUAAUCCUUCCCCCACCACCA
rnacentral:sRNA from 1 species